GAUGAAGUUACCAAGAGCGCAUGGUGGAUGCCUUGGCACUAGAAGGCGAUGAAGGACGUGGUUACCUGCGAUAAGCCGGGAGUAGGCGGAAGCUGCCUGUGAUCCCCGGAUCUCCGAAUGGGACAACCCACACAGAGUAAUGUCUGUGUACGUUACGGUGAAUACAUAGCCGUAUCGAGCUAACCCGCUGAACUGAAACAUCUAAGUAGGCGGAGGAAGAGAAAACAAUCGUGAUUCCCUGAGUAGUGGCGAGCUAAACGGGAACAGCCCAAACCUUGCGGUUUUACCGCGAGGGGUUGUAGGGCCUUCGUAUAGGAGUUACCAAUCAUUAGCAUAGCGGAAGUCUCUGGAACGAGACACCAUAGAGGGCGAUCGUCCCGUACGCGAAAUGCUCAAUGACUCCUGGAGGUACCCUGAGUACGACGGAAUAAGUGAAAGUCUGUCGGAAUCUGCGAGAACCAUCUCGUAAGGCUAAAUACUCUCUAGUGACCGAUAGUGAACAAGUACCGUGAGGGAAAGGCGAAAAGAACCCUUAAGAAGGGAGUGAAAUAGAUCCUGAAACCGCGCGCUUACAAACGGUGGGAGCGAGUCCAUCUUCGGAUGGAGGAGUGACCGCGUGCCUUUUGUUUAAUGAGCCUACGAGUUACUCAUCCGUUGCAAGGAUAAGCAAUUAUGUUGCGAAUCCGUAGCGAAAGCGAGUCUGAAUAGGGCGAUUCAGUAACGGGUGGUAGACGCGAAACCUUGUGAUCUAUGGAUGGUCAGGAUGAAGGUUGGGUAAAACCAACUGGAGGUCCGAACGGGUGUGGGUUGAAAACCGCUCCGAUGAACUGUCCAUAGGGGCGAAAGACUAAUCAAACUGGGAGAUAGCUCGUACUCCCCGAAAUAGCUUUAGGGCUAGCGUCGGAUGAGAGUCUUGCGGAGGUAGAGCACUGAUUGGGCUAGGGCCGUCACAACGGUACCAACCCCAGCCAAACUCCGAAUACCGUUAAGAUGUUUUCCGGCAGUCAGGCUAUGAGUGAUAAGAUCC
rnacentral:rRNA from 1 species